ensembl:misc_RNA Metazoa_SRP Metazoan signal recognition particle RNA
ACGGGGUGUAGUGGCGUGUGCCUGUAGUCCCAGCUACUCAGGAGGCUGACGCUGGAGGAUCACUUGAGCAGGAGUUCUGGGCUGUGGUGUACUGUGCCGAUUAGGUGUUCGCAGUAAGUUCGUCAUCAAUAUGGUGAUCUCCCGGGAGCGCCGGACCACCAGGUUGUCUAAGGAGAGGUGAACUGGCCCAGAUUAUAAACAGAGCAGAUCAAAACUCCCGUGCCGAUCAGUAGUGGGAUCACACCUGUGAAUAGGCACUGCACUCCAGCCUGGGCAACACAGCUAGACCCUGCCUCUU